CUUGCCCAGAGAAGGGUUGCUCCUGAAUCAUGGCUGUUAGAUAAGGGCCGAGGUCGUAGCCAUCUGUAAGAAUUGGAUGUGAUGAUGGUGGUGGCUCUAAUAACUCGCCCUUUGGAGCAAAGAAUUUAUAGAUAGGAGUGAAAUCCAUAUGGUAUGGUGAAAAUGGUAAGGUGAGUGUGGUAAAAAAAGGAAAAGAAAAAGGAUACACGGACGACUUGGUUCGAAACUAGCACAGCUACCGUUCCCCGGCAACAGCGCC
rnacentral:lncRNA from 1 species